AGACCUCUAAAUUCAUCCUAGGGCCACAAGAGCUUCUGUAAGAGUUCAGGCCCGUUUCAGAACACUCAGAGGUUCCUAGCCUGAGAAGUAAUCCCCAAAGCAGACCAACCGGUUUGGGGUAAAACAGGAAUAGUUGGGUCCAUUCUGGAUCUUUCCUAGCUAAAUGCCUUCAGGAUUUAGGAACAUUUUCCUAGGAGGGCCAAGGAUUAGCUAGACCUGCCCAGCGAUUCCAGCCCUGAGAACCAGACAGAAUGGAGGUAUAGCUGACAGCUGGCUGGGAGGGGGCUGACGGUCCUCACUGCCACCAGGCUUAGUUGGAGACAGAUUCCCCGGGCUGUAGAGAGACAACAGUAGAAGCAAAGAGACCAGUUAGGAGUCUAGGUGAGAGGCAGCGGCAGCCUGGACUAACAUGGUAACAGUGGAGCUAUUGAGAGUGGUCACAUUUGGAAGAUGUUUUGUAGGAAGUGUCAACAAAGUUUCUUAUUGAUUAGAUGUAGGGAAUGUGAGAAAGAGA
rnacentral:lncRNA from 1 species